rnacentral:misc_RNA from 1 species
UCCGGUUUGGCACCGGCAGUCUUCCCAGAGUCCCCGACUUUACUCGCUGGCAACUGGGAACGGGGGUUGCGCUCGUUGCGGGACUUAACCCAACAUCUCACGACACGAGCUGACGACAGCCAUGCAGCACCUGUGCUGGUGUCCCGAAGGAGGCCUCCCGUUUCGGGGAGGUUUCACCAGCAUGUCAAGCCUAGGUAAGGUUCUUCGCGUUGCGUCGAAUUAAACCACAUGCUCCACCGCUUGUGCGGGCCCCCGUCAAUUCCUUUGAGUUUCAGCCUUGCGGCCGUACUCCCCAGGCGGGGCACUUAAUGCGUUAGCGCCGGCACUCAGAGGGUCGCUCCCCCAAGCACCUAGUGCCCAUCGUUUACGGCGUGGACUAC